AUUGAACGCUGGUGGCAGGCCUAACACAUGCAAGUCGAGCGAGCGGCAGACGGGUGAGUAAUGUAUGGGAAACUGCCUGAUGGAGGGGGAUAACUACUGGAAACGGUAGCUACUACCGCAUACCAUCAGCUGAACCCAUAUGGGAUUAGCUAGUAGGUGGGGUAACGGCUCACCUAGGAGACGAUCCCUAGCUGGUCUGAGAGGAUGACCAGCCAAACUGGAACUGAGACACGGCCCAGACUCCUACGGGAGGCAGCAGUGGGGAAGAUUGCACAAUGGGAGCAAGCCUGAUGCAGCCAGGCCGCGUGUAUGAAGAAGGCCUUCGGGUUGUAAAGUACUUUCAGUGGGGAGGCGUUACCGGCAGAAGAAGCACCGGCUAACUCCGUGCCAGCAGCCGCGGUAAUAC
rnacentral:rRNA from 1 species